rnacentral:rRNA from 1 species
GAUGAACGCUGGCGGCAUGCCUAAUACAUGCAAGUCGAGCGAACGGACGAGAAGCUUGCUUCUCUGAUGUUAGCGGCGGACGGGUGAGUAACACGUGGAUAACCUACCUAUAAGACUGGGAUAACUUCGGGAAACCGGAGCUAAUACCGGAUAAUAUUUUGAACCGCAUGGUUCAAAAGUGAAAGACGGUCUUGCUGUCACUUAUAGAUGGAUCCGCGCUGCAUUAGCUAGUUGGUAAGGUAACGGCUUACCAAGGCAACGAUGCAUAGCCGACCUGAGAGGGUGAUCGGCCACACUGGAACUGAGACACGGUCCAGACUCCUACGGGAGGCAGCAGUAGGGAAUCUUCCGCAAUGGGCGAAAGCCUGACGGAGCAACGCCGCGUGAGUGAUGAAGGUCUUCGGAUCGUAAAACUCUGUUAUUAGGGAAGAACAUAUGUGUAAGUAACUGUGCACAUCUUGACGGUACCUAAUCAGAAAGCCACGGCUAACUACGUG